CAUGACUUCCGUCAAUCACGCCUCCGUUCUUUUCUCCCUUUCCUUCAAUUCCUUUCAUCGCCUCCGCGAUCUCCUCCCGCAGAUUACUCCUCCCGACUCCCGAGCUCCCCUCCGUGAUUUAUUUCCACCUUUUGAUUUCGUUGCCUUCUCCCCAAUUCCAGCAGCCUCUCGUGUGCAGCAUGAUCUUCUUUCUCACCUCUCCAGACCCAAUCCCGCACCAUCCGAUCCCUAACCCAUCCUCAUCGGCGGCGACAGCAGGCUACAGGAUCAUGAGGAGGCAGACACGGCACUGCGGCAGGCAGCAGCCCCACGAGUCCUUGAGGAGGCGAACGCGGAGAUGGCGUACCAGGGGGGUGGCCGUGCUCCUCCGCGCUGACGCUGCCAUGAUCCCAUCUCCCCGAGGUUCCCGCGCUGAUCCAUCGAUGCCAAGCGCCUACACAAGAACGACCUCACAUCCACUAGGCACAUCCAAUGGAUGCACACCAUUCACUCGAUGGUUUGUCUCGGGGAGGUAUGAGCUAACCAAAUAACCAUGACCAUGUUUCUGCAGAAAACAAGUAUCCUUGCCAUUUAUCAAAAUGUGUGAAGAAAAAACUGAGCCACCGUCGAAUAGAAGUUCCUUCAUGACAUUCAGCGUGGUGGCACGACCAAUAGAAUCACCUCGCCAUCUCCAAUAAGGACACUCUUGCGAUGUAGUCUUUGAUCUGCCAUUGAUCUUCCCUCUCAUAUACCUGUUUGUUGAUCAAGCACACAGUGAGUACAUCAUCCCCCUUUGUUGUCACCGUUGAACAAAAUUUAUGGCCCGGUCCCUGUAUGUCCGUAUUCAUGCAAAUAUGUGAUCGUUCUAUUUGUUGGUGUAUCUCAUCGUUGUCGUAAGAAAUUCCAAAAAGUUGUUCCCAUCUCAUCUGAUCAUUGUGGUAAGACAUUCCUUGGAAGGCAAGGUAAGAUACUAAUAUCUACAAUUAAUUAUUUCAAAUUUGUCAGUUGGCUGAUUGAUAAAUGAUUCUUUUGUUUUCCCACAUGUAUAUGUAUGAAAAAUAGAUUAGUACACAUGUUUGUUGCAGAUUUUAAUGACACCUCACACCUCUAAAUUGUCCUAUAAUUUCUGCAGGUGUUUCCUCCUGUUUGUUGGAAGGAAGUUGAGUCAAAUGAGAUGUCUAAAUAGUAAAUACAUUUGUCCUGGAAUUCUGAUGCACGAAAAAUAUAUAUGAAAAAACAUCCUCUCAAGUAUCAGUGAAUGCCGCAUUGCAUCAGAACUGCAUUUUUACUUGCUGCUUGAACUUCACACCCUCUCAACGCAUCGUGGCUGCUGUCUAGGUGGCAUGUCACUCAGGUGAAGAACAAUUGAGGAAUAUUUGGGGCCUAGAGCAACAAAAGCAACUGAAAUGCCGAGGAUGCUGGGGAGAGAAUGUGGGAGGUUGCAGAUGUAAGUUCCUCAGUAACAUGCCACUUGCUAGAAUUUGGAAAACUGAACGCUAAUCGAGGGAGAACAGACUCAAGUCCACCGGUUGAGGGAACAUACAAGAUCGAUAUUGAUUGAUGCAGCUUUCUCUGCCAACGAGGGGAAUGGUGUGCAAGUUUUGUGGCAAGAGAUAGCAUAGGGUAAGUUUGGUGGCAGGGGUUGGCAGUAUUAUGUGCAUGCCUCAUAAGCACCGGCAGUAUUGUGUUGCACAUUGCCUGGCUGGGAAUUACAAGGAUGGUAGGUGCUCGAAAUUGAUGCCCUAGCACUUGCUUUAGCACUUCAAUCCUGAGAUGAACCAUAGUUGUAAUUGGAGUUUAUUCAUGCAGAUUAGAGAUCUCAUUCAUAAUGAAUUUGUAUACUGUAAGAUGUCAGUCCAUAAGAGUCUACAACAAAGUAGCAGACUGCCUUGCAGCCCAUGGUGCAUGCGUAGUGGCCUCUGGUUAUGUAACUGUACAUUUCUAGAUUGGUGGUUGUUUAAUGGAAGUUAUCUUUCAUUUAAAAAAAAAUAUUGUACAAGCACAUUGAAAACCAUUAAGUGAACCUUGUAUUUUCUUUUUUGGUGACCUUUUCCAAUUAAGCUUCCUAAAGUGGAUGAAAAAAAACUGACAAUAGCAGGAUACAGAAUAGAGGUAUCGUUUCUGCCUGGAGGAAAGGGGAGAAAGAGGUAAACUCUGUCACUAAAAUAUUAAAUAGAAUAGAUCGAGCAUUGUGUUGCAGGUUGUG